GACAACUCGCGGGGAUUGUUUUCCACACCGUGGAAGCUUUGUUCUUUUCGUUUUUUGCAAUAAAUCUUGUUGCUGCUCGCUUUUUGGGUCCACAUUGCUUUUAUGAGCUGUACCACUCACCGUGAAGAUCUGCAGCUUCACUUCAGAGCCUAGCGAGACCACAAGCUCACUGAGAGGAACAAACAACUCCAGACGCGCUGUCUUAAGAGCUAUAACACUCACCGCGAAGGUGUGCAGUUUCACUCCUGAGCUAGUGAGACUACGAAGCCACUGGAACGAAGAAACUCCAACCACGUUUGAACAUCAGAAGGGGCAGACUCCAGACGCUUCAUCUUAAGAGCUGUAACACUCACUGUGAAGGUCUGCAGCUUCACUCCUGAGCCAGCGAGACCACGAACCGAUCUGAACAUCAGAAGGGACAGACUCCAGAUGCCCCACCUUAAGAGCUGUAAUACUCACUGCAAGGGUCUGCAGCUUCAUUCUUGAAGUCAGACCAAGAACCCAGCAAUUCCCAACACACAGGGACCAGCUUCUUUCCUAACUCACUUAGGCUCUUCGUGCUGCUCUGGCAACUAACACCCUUGGCUGCAGGGGCUUGGACACUACCCUUAGUCACUGACAAUUGUGUGAAGGCUGCUGUCGUUAACUUCACUUGAUCACCUUAGGCUCCUGUGAAGUGGUGAGCAAUUCAAACAAAUUCCUGUCGUCAAAUCAUAUGGAGAAAUUGCACUGCAGAGAAAUCUUUAAAAGCAAUUACCUAAUACUGCAGAUUGCUGAACUGUACCCACACCCAAGACUGAGCAUUGGAUCAAUCCAGAAUAUACAUCAGGUGUUCUGCAAUGUCUGCCUAAAACCAUGACUCUGCCUCCUCCAGCUGUUGCUACAUCUCACUAUGGGUUUCCUGUGACAUUUUGAGCAAGUAUGCCUCUGUGACUGGGGUUCUUACACUCCAGAAUGGAUGAGAAGCACCGAGCAUUCUAGCUAAGAAAUGAAGGAGGCGUGACAGAAAAUAACCAUUUUGCAGCUCCUUGUGGACUAAUGAAUAGAUGCAUUGAGCAAUAACAAUUGCUACUAUGAGAGAGAGAGAAAGAGAGAGAGAGAGCGCACGCCAGAUAUUAUAUAUCCUGAUGGAAGAAUACAGCACCACCUGUGAAAUAUUUCCCACUCCUCAUUCUCUGCUGGAAAAAAGGACCUGACUCUGAACAGGCCUCUAGAUACAACUACCAAGAGAGAGGAAGUACAGAGGGACAUGGGAAGCCACCAUGGGGAUGCCAUCAGCACUCUGGUCAGGGGAGAUGCUACAGGACAGCAAUGUGGCUUCCACCAGAAAUAAAAUGCAAGAAGGACCUUUAGAUUGAAAAAGACCUGAGACAUAACAACGAAUCACAGGCGUGGGCUUCAUUUAGAUCUUGACUGAAGCAAAUAAACCAUAAAAGGAAAUAAAAUUAUGAAAUGUAUGAGUCAACUGGAAAUUCAAAUAUGACUGGACAUGUGAUGGCCUGUUAAGAAACUAUCUUUGAUUGUUUACAGAUGUGAUUGUGGUAUUGUGAUUAUGUUGGGGGAGGGAAAGAAUUUAUCCUUUUAGUGACACAUACUGAAAUAUUUACAGAUUAAGUGAUAAGGUCUCUAGGAUUUGCUUCAAAUUAGUAUAAGAGUAGAGUACCUAGGGGCGGUUAAAAUGAAACAACAUUGUUCACGAGUUAAUUAUUUAAGAAUUUAAAGCAUAUGGACAUAUGGGGAUAUAUUAUACUAUUCUGUAUUGAACUACUUUGGUGAAAAUAAUGAAAAGUUUUCAAAAAAUAAUUAUAUGUGAAUAGUAAAAGUAAAAAGAGGAAUGCCUAUGAUUAUUGAAAUAAUUAAAUUAAUACAUACCUUUCUUCCUUUAUCUAGAGGUUCAUGA
ensembl:lncRNA novel transcript